ensembl:lncRNA
CAGAGUACUGGCAAUAAUAUGAUUUAGAUUUCCAAAUUAAUUUAAAACAAGCUGCAUAAAAAUUAUGACAUAAUUUUCUGGACUGCAGAAUCAAUGAGUUGCUCUCCUGAGAUGGCACAGUCAGGGGAAGCAUGUGACCAGCCUACAACUAUGAAGGGAUGAGUCUGACACUGUGGACGGAAGCACAGAGAAAUGGAAAGAACUAAAGCCCUCAUGACUUCAGUAAGCCCUGGUCCAACCAUUUCCUGAAGCCUGACCUCCAUCUGGACUUCCCUCCUGUUACUGAUAAAUGUUAUGUAAGUGACCUUGGGUAGGGUUUUCUGUUACUUUUAAACAGUCAUAGCUGAAUGGAGAUGGUGACCCCCAAAGCUGAGAGCCAGUUGUUUACACUACAUUAAAAGAAGAAUCAUAGAGAAUGCUUAAAUGAACUGUUUCAUGGUUAAAACCAUUUCAGUAUAACUGGAUAAUGAUAUCUUUCUUUACUUCAUCUACAGAGGUGAAAUAAUUUGUGCUUUUCACUUUAAUAUGAG